rnacentral:lncRNA from 7 species
CCUUCAUCCCUGCCACCGGGAUAGACGGUCGAGUGGGUUACUGCUUCCGCAGGAGAGGACCAGGAGGAGUAGCGUGGCCAGGCUUCGCCAUGUUACUCGGUUUUCUCCGUUAGUUAUCUCCGCUGCAUUAAAAUUUAUGAUUAUUAUUUCUGAAACUCUGAUAAUGUAAUCACUAAUGAUACUUAUUAAAUUUGUGGUAUUAUGCUUUAUUGUAUUUCUCUGUGCCUCACCUUCGAGUGAGCUAGUGGUAUUCGAUCCUGGUAAGUGGCUUUAUCGGACUAGAUCCGAGGGACUGACGGGUUAUUCCUGUUUAAGUGUGUUGUUGCCCUUAAGGGUGCGACUUGGGCACUUAAGCUGGAAUAAUUCGGGUGGUUCCGCCACAGCUGGUAUCGGAGCGAAUACCAUCACAGAGAAGUCAAUAAGUCAUGAUUACCAACCUUUUCUAAAGUAAAACUUGCUAGAAACCAAAGUUGGAUAGAUCGUCAGGACGAUAAGGAUAGACCUAGGACGUGAAGCCCUAGGAAUAGAUGGGUAGCUAGGUGGCUAGUUAUUUAGGCCAUAAAGGCUACUACUACUAUUAAUAAGGAUGCUGUAGAAGCACCCGAAAAUUAGUUAGGUCUGAGAAGACGACUAGAAUGAGCAUGCAUCAUGAUUGUCGCAUCAUUGUCUCUUGUGCACCAACAUGCUUCUCUCACCUUUAUUCCAAUAAUAAGAACUUGUGAAUAAUGUAAUGUAUUGAUAUG